rnacentral:rRNA from 1 species
UCGGGAAUUUUGGACAAUGGGCGAAAGCCUGAUCCAGCCAUGCCGCGUGUGUGAAGAAGGUCUUCGGAUUGUAAAGCACUUUAAGUUGGGAGGAAGGGCCAUUACCUAAUACGUGAUGGUUUUGACGUUACCGACAGAAUAAGCACCGGCUAACUCUGUGCCAGCAGCCGCGGUAAUACAGAGGGUGCAAGCGUUAAUCGGAAUUACUGGGCGUAAAGCGCGCGUAGGUGGUUUGUUAAGUUGGAUGUGAAAUCCCCGGGCUCAACCUGGGAACUGCAUUCAAAACUGACUGACUAGAGUAUGGUAGAGGGUGGUGGAAUUUCCUGUGUAGCGGUGAAAUGCGUAGAUAUAGGAAGGAACACCAGUGGCGAAGGCGACCACCUGGACUGAUACUGACACUGAGGUGCGAAAGCGUGGGGAGCAAACAGGAUUAGAUACCCCGGUAGUCCCUGAGCGGGCUGGCAAGGCGCAU